AAAAAAAAGUAAAAAAUUCUUAUGGCCAAACGGGGCCUUAAUCAUGAAAUAAAAUUGAAGUUGAAAUUUUGUACAUUUCAUAAACACGUGUUGAUUUCAAAUCAAAACUUCAAAUUCAAGCCCCAAAUCAUAUGGCCAAACGCUGACAAGAUUUUCAAUUAUCUGUUAUUCUUCAUAAACCGAUAGAUAACAAGAGAUCUACAAAAGUCUUUAAAGGAUCCACUGCCUUAAACACCUUUAAGGUUUUUAAGGUUUUGGGUUGGACGCUCAAAUCCUUCCACAGGAUAUCACAACCAACAAUUUGUAAAUCUCACAAUUGUGAGUUUGCAUUAAAAUUAAUGUGUACAACAACAACAUACCUAGUGUAGUCCCACAAGUGGAGUCUAGAGAGGGUAGAGUGUACGCAGACUUUACCCCUACCUUAAGCAGGUAGAGAGGUUGUUUCUGAUCCGGAAACAUAAGCAGUAACAACAGCAAGAUAGUAUAAAACCGAAGCAUAAGCGAUAACAAGUGGUAAUAGAAAACUAAGAAUGAGAAAAACGAUAUAGUAAACUAACAAAAAUACUGAAAUAGUACCAACACUACUUGUAACGAAAAGCAGAAUGCAAAACUACCUACUAGUAGUCUUCUACCUUAAUCCAACCUCCACACCUUCCUAUAUCUAAGGGUGAUGAGUUAUAUAGUUGUAGUUAUCCCAAUGGGUUGUCUUAGACUACUAACCCACUGCCUUAAAAUUUUAGGUUGGAGGCCUAAAUUCUUCUGCAAAUUCAAUCAUCACGAUACGUAAAUAUAUUGCAUAAUUGCAGUCAGCAGUCCAUUCAUCUAACUAGAUGCAGCACCGAGAAGUAUAGGAAGUAAAAGCUCUUGAGAGGUGUGCUAUUUGCAAAUCAUACAAGCUCUUUCUUGUUAGUAUUUUCUUAAGAAGCCUACAAAGUAAAAUCUUGCAAUUAAAUGUAUUUUCCAACCUCCAAAGAUGGUUAAAUGAGAUAAGAAUUUCUCUAGAAGAUAAUAAGAACUUGUCUAUAAUUUUAUUCUGGGUAUAGUAAAAUAUUCUACUACUCUUUAAAUUUAGUGUUGCCAUGGUAUUAUGUGAUAGAAGAACACUUACCAAAGUAAGAGGUAAGUCCUACAAAUAGUUACUCCCUCCGUCCCAAUUUAUGUAGCAUCAUUUGACUUAGAACAAUGUUUAAGAAAGAAAGGAAGAUUUUUGAAAUUUGCGGUCUAAAGCAAACCUUCCACAUAUAUGUGGCUAUAAUUCAUUUUAUUAAGGACAAAAAAAGAAUUUUAAAAUUAUGUUAUUUCUAAUUAUAGAAAGGUGACAUUUUUUGGGACAAACAAUAAAGAAAAGAGUGUCACAUAAAUUGAGACGGAGUUUGAGAUUGAGUGAAUAUAAGACUAGCAAUUUUACAUGAGAGUAAAUGUUGGGCCGCUAAAGUCUAGCGUAUCCACGUGAUGAGCGUCGCACAAAUACAAAUGCAAAGAUAUUUUUGUUGGUCAUGCAAGAUUUUUUAAGAUCAGAAAUGACCACAUUUAGCAAAGGUGCAAGUAGAGCACAUACAACAGCAUAACCAAUGGAUUUCCACAAAGUGGGGUCCGGGAGGGUAGAGUGUACACAAACCUUACUACUACUUCUAGGAGGUAGAGAGGUCGUUACCGGAAGACCCUCGGCUCAAGUGAAGCAACUCAAAGUAGUAAUUUAGAGAAUAACGGCAGUGAAGAAAAACAUGACAAUUAUAAUAGGAAACCAGUGCGGGGAAAUAUAUGCAAGGAACCGUGAUAUCAACAUCAAGGUGCGAUCACCUAAACGUAGUAAACAACAUAUGAUAACAAAUACCAAAAGCCAAGGACAACAUGCAUAGGCUAAUACUAGGACAAACACGGUACUCUACACUACCACCAAGACAGACUACAUGAAUAG
rnacentral:lncRNA from 1 species